UCUGUGGAGCCUGACAUCACGCAGCUCUGAACGGUGAAUUGGCAAUGUUUUCCGGACAAAGAUGUGGCCACCUCAGCCCCCACAAGUCCCAUACCCAAACCGUGGAUUCGACCAAGCAAACGCAGGGUGAGGUCAAAAUAGAAGCAUGCAGGGGGAGGUGAUGAGGCCAGCAUUCCAGCCAUCAGGUUGGAGGUGCCAUGCACACACACACACACAUACACACGGAGAAGUCACAAGACAAGGGGAAGGCCACACACCCGGCGCGGGUACCAGCAGCUGAGUGCUGUGGCCAGAGGGCUCACGACCAGGGGACUGAACAGAAUCCACGUAUCCGUGUCCAUCUACUUUCGAAUGACCAGUUUCCAUUCAUUCUAUGCCUCACAGUUUUUUCCCUUUUAACAUUUCUGAAUAUGAGCGACACUCAUCUUUUUUCUUCCUUAAUGGUCAGGAUAGAAUGGUGCAUCUCGAGGUGGCUGGAACCUUAGAUUUAAUUCAUUAAUAGCAGCUGAACGUGAGGUUCAGUGAUGUCACUAAGCCAACUCCCUUGUGUGGAUGAGGGGCCUCCCUCCUCCUCCGCUCGUGCUCAGGAGAACCUGAUGUGGCAAACAUCCUAGCCCUGUCCUGACCCUGCCAUGGGCACCAGACUCCUCUGCUGCGUGGCCCUCUGUCUCCUGGGGGCAGGUCACACAGGAGCUGGUGUCCUCCAGUCCCCCCGGCACAAGGUCACAAAGAGGGGCCGGGACGUGGACCUCAGGUGUGACCCAAUUUCUGGUCAUGCUGGCCUCUACUGGUACCGACAGGCCGUGGGGCAAGGCCCGGAGUUUCUCGUUUCCUUCCAAAACAAGGACAAAGUAGACUCCUCAGGGAUGCCCAGCAACGAUCGGUUCCAGGUGAACAGGUCCGAGGGGUCCUACUCCAUUCUGCAGAUCCAGCGUGCGGAGCCGGGGGACUCAGCUGUGUACCUCUGUGCCAGCAGCCCUACCACAGUGGGGCACAGCCACCUCCUUCCUCUUCACCAACCUCAUGUGUCUACUUCUCAUAGUUCACAGAAUCCCCGCACAAAGGAGUUGCCUGCUUCUUCUUCAUCAGGGGCAGCAUGUGGAUUUGGGACUUAGGCUCUUCUUCUGAUAGAAAA